GCCCAGCGCUGGCAGAGACCGGGCGCCGAAGCUGCUGGCCGAGCUGCGCGGCACGACGGCCGCACCGGCGAAGGAGCUCAUGGACAUCAUGGUCGCCAUUGAUCAGCUGCGGACGGAAGGUGCACGUACGAGAGGACAGAAACAAGCCACAGAUGCUGCAACCGGCAAAGAUGAUUGCUAGUACACUGCUGCUUGUUGUUGUCUCGUUCCUGAUGUGUUUGCUGAUGUAUUAUUUCGAGAGAGUGGACACAAAUUUAUAGGCCGUGCUCCGCGAGGGCCAACCCGUGNNNNNNNNNNAAGCCGAGCCGCGCAGCACGACGGCCGCACCGGGGAAGGAGCUCAUGGACAUGAUGGACGCCAUUGAUCAGCUGCGGACGGAAGGUGCACGAGUGGACAGAAACAAGCCACAGAUGCUGCAACAGGCAAAGAUGAUUGAUAGUUGGAGGAAGGUGUUUGCUGAUGUAUACUUCCUCCGUUCCUAAAUAUAAGUCUUUUAAGCGAUUUCACUAAGAGUUACAUACGGAGAAAUCUACACUGUAAACAAAAUGAGUGAAUCUACACUGUAAAAUAAUAUGUUAGUCUACUAGUGGAAUCUCGAUAAAAAAUUAUAUUUAGG
rnacentral:lncRNA from 1 species